AACGAACGCUGGCGGCAGGCUUAACACAUGCAAGUCGAACGCAUCCUUCGGGGUGAGUGGCAGACGGGUGAGUAACGCGUGGGAACGAUGCCCUUCAGUUCGGAAUAACCCACGGGAAACGUUAGGGCGUAAUACCGGAUACGUGCGGGAGGCAGAAAGAUUUAUCGCUGAAGGAGUGGCCCGCGUCUGAUUAGCUAGUUGGUGAGGUAAAGGCUCACCAAGGCGACGAUCAGUAGCUGGUCUGAGAGGAUGAUCAGCCACACUGGGACUGA
rnacentral:rRNA from 1 species